rnacentral:rRNA from 1 species
UACGUAGGGUGCGAGCGUUAAUCGGAAUUACUGGGCGUAAAGCGUGCGCAGGCGGCUUUGCAAGCCGGGUGUGAAAUCCCCGGGCUUAACCUGGGAAUGGCAUUUGGGACUGCAAGGCUGGAGUGCGGCAGAGGAGACUGGAAUUCCUGGUGUAGCAGUGAAAUGCGUAGAUAUCAGGAGGAACACCGAUGGCGAAGGCAGGUCUCUGGGCUGACACUGACGCUCAUGCACGAAAGCGUGGGGAGCAAACAGG